AUGGCUAAGCUAGCAGUGAAUAAUAAUAAUAAUAAUAAUAAUAAUAAUAAUAAUAAUAAUAAUAAUAAUAAUAAUAAGCUAUGCUGGCCCGAGUUAACGUUUGCUAACUAAAGGCAAGAAGUAAAAAAAGCUGAGGAUGACGCUGGUGAGCUAACAGAACAACGCCGCAAAUUCAAGUUCAUUGUCAGUGGAAAGAAGACUCUGCAUUAUGGGGGCAGAUUACAGAAAGGAGGAGGAAAUUAUACUCAAAGGGAUUUCACCUUUGGACAAAUUGUGAGGGAGAGAAGACUUUUCCCACUACCGAAAAGAAUAUAAAAUGAACUCAGGACAAGUACCGAUCACAAGAGACUUUCUGGAGUGUCUUUGAUGGCCAUCAAGUCCAAGCUACCGAGAGAGCUGAACUCUGACGACUUUGUUUGCAAACUUUGCAAGGAAAAAAAUCAAUAAGGAACUUCUGAAGAGUGGUGACUGAUCAGAUGUCUCAGGGUCGAAUGUCAGAGGUCGAGAGCAGAGGUCAAGCCAACAACAGCAUGGAGAAGACAGAGGAAAGAGGACUUUCUUACUUUCCUGCUAGACACCAGCAAUUCAACACACCAAAGUGUUCACUUAAAAAGCUACAGAAUGAGGGUACCAUCACCACGUCCAUGGUCAGUGCCUUCUCACUGGGCUGCCAGAGCGUAUGAAAGCGGCAGGUUGCGGAGUUCAAGUCCUUCGAAAUGUGAAUCGAAACAGCUGCCUCUAAUCACUAGCACAAGCUGGGCUUAAGGGCCUCUCAGUUUCACCCCUCAUCUGCCUGGAAUUUUGAAUUUCCUGAGCGGAGAUCAAAUGGCAGCCCGAGUCAGUGAGACCUUUGAUAUGGGGACACCCAUCUCGCGAGGGCCUUCUGCAUUGGGAUUUACGCUUGACAACACACUUGGUGUCACCUCCUAUCCCUGCGGACGCGCCGUAGCCCCUGAAUACAUUGGACCUCUUUGACGGCACAACAGAGCCCACCCCGUCCCCAACACCUCCUCACCCCCCCAUGGAGUGCCCAGCAGUUAUUUAUUAAAUUUGUUGUGCCCACCCUGGUAUGGUUUCAGUAGGCCACUUAGUUUUGGAUUGCAUCCUGGAUUUUUCAAUUAUGUGGUUCAUUUCACCUGCUUGUGUUCCUUUACCCCCCUGGAUCAAGGGCGAAGGAGAUCACAUUUAAUUAUUUCAAAACAAGAAGUCUGAAGCGGGGCCCCACAGAUCUGUAACAUCAUGCUUUCCUAUCUAUUGCCCACAUCACCACUACUUUAACUAAGCAGCAUUUAGACUGUUAGAAAAAGAAACUCAGUCCCCGGCCUCCGAACAGCUCAUUACUCGUGUCAAUAAGAAAAUUUGUCUACCUAACAGGAGGGUAAAUAUAAGGACAGAAUAUGGGAUUUCCAGAAUUCCUUGCUUGUUGAGACUCAUAUGGAGCACAUUAGUAGUCUGUUUGAUUGACAACUGCUCCUGUGUAUAGUCAAAAGGAGAACUAUUGAGAUAUAGGAGAUUAUUAUAUCCAAGGUAAUGUGUAUGGGCUGUCCACAGCAGGCGUGAAGAUGCUAUCUGGCUUGGUUGUGGCUUGUAUGGAUUAGAGUAUGUUAGAGGGGCUGCUCCACUAAACAAAGUCUUUGUAUUCAUCUAUGUGAGCAUUUAUAUAGUCAUUCUUUGUGUAUAGAAAAGAUGUCAGGAAAUUUUUAAUCAGACAAUUACACAUUUUAUUUCCUUAGACUCAAUAUCCAACUAGAAAGGAAAAGAUUGAUACUGUUAUAUUGUGUUAUGUCACUUGUUUAAUACAUUAAAUUCUCUGAGAGGUUUCAUUUCAAUAUCAGACCUACUCUUGAGAUGCUACUAUACAAUCUGCUUCAAUGUCAGUUCAAAAUAUCAAGGUCUAAUUUGGCUUCAUACAGAAGGUUUUUAUUUUGAAACAGUUUAAAAUUUCUAGUAUUUUUCAGGUUGUUUAUGUAUCCAAAUGUAAAAUGGUCUUGCAAAAUUGCAGAACACUGGAAGUUCUUGUGUCAUGAAUCACCAUAGUAAAAAGUCAUUGAAUAGACAAAAUAAAGGUAAUUAACUAAUUAACAAACACAAUUCCCUCCAUCUGAGCAGUGUGAAAAUGUAGUUAACUGAAAGGUGACAAUAAACAUAUGUUUGAAAUUUAUUUGAGGUUGUUUGAAAAACCUAACAGGGCCAUGUCUAAGGCUAAAUUUAAAUGAGAUCUACAUGGCCUAAAAAAUCUGCUUACUAUCUUUUUAAAAAAUCUUUUUAUUACUGUUUUCCAAUGUACAUGACAUUACACAAAAACAAAAAAUCUAACUGUUAAAGACCUUAGUUCAGAUUUCAAGUCUGAAACAAAGACAUAAAAAACCCAGCUGUGGUUAUAUCUGUUUAAACAUGUGAAGCUGCAAUCUGGGAUGGAAGGUGAUAAGCAAAUUAAAUUUAAAAAAUGCCAAAACGACAUGCUGUGGAAUUACCAGGGAAAAUUUGUAUAUGAUUAUGUGAAUUGUGCGUCACUUUUAAAAUGGAAUUUGCAUUAAUUUGGAAGAGAGAAAAUAUUGUAAAUGAACUAUGUCGUCAUGAUGCCUGCUCCUACAUUUUUUACAUGAUCUGUGUAAAGAUUUAAUUAAAAGGAAGUUCAAUUUUAGUAAAUGUUUAGGGUGGGGAAAAAAAAGAACAGCACUAAACCAGAAAAAAGGUGAAGCCCCACCCUCUAGUCUUAUUCUGCAGGCACUGCCAGGUUUUAUUUGAAGAUGGGCUUCAGGUUAGUUUUAGAGCAUAUUUUCAUAGAAUCCGACCAGAAUCUCUUUCCAUGAUAAAUAAAAGCAUGUCCCUGGUAUGAUCCUAUUUUAAUGUGGUGAUUAUGUGUUCAGGGGUAUGUCCAGUGUAAAUUUUCUGUCACUUUCUUUGAAGGCUAUGGAAGAUGUGAAGGUCAAAAAGUAAAUUUAUGCUGGAGUGUUUACUAAUCAGGUGACUUCUGAAGGUAUUGGAUUUUAUUUAGGGGUAUCAGAAUGAAGAAACUGAAUAUAAGUUCAUGCCAUACACUUCAGGUCUCAAUUGUAAAAUGCCAUAUGUAAUUUUCCUUCUACUCCACAAUCAUGCAAUACUUACUCUAGACCUAUAAAGUAAAACCUUGAUGUUUGUAGUUGUAACGAGACAAAAUGUGGACUACUUCAAGGCUGAUGUACAAUUGCAGAAUGCACUGUAGGUAUAAGCUGUUGGUCAGCUCAAAAAGCAAAAAGGGAAAUACACAAAAAUGACAAAAAAGAGGCUGAUUGAACAAAAAUCCACCUUCAGUAAGAAGAUUAGUAUGUGUUAAAAAAGGAAGAGCUUAUGACACAAAGCAUACCAUGGCAUCUGCCAAAUUGAUGGUGGUUCUGUUUAAGUUUGGGUUCAUAUCAGUGUCAGUAGAACUGGCAAACUGGCAUAAUUCAUAAUUUUACUGCUAAGAAAAGAACAAUUAGCAACAUAAUGCUCAUCUAUGACAGAUGUUGGCUCAGCAAGUCAAGUUAUCAGAUCUCUAUUGGAUUAAGCUACAUCCCACUUGCUGAAAACAGGCCAUAUGUGGCAGGUUAAAAAAGGAUGGAGCACAAGUAAAGAAUGUGUUGUUUUAUAUGCUUUUAUGUUAUUGUAUUUUUUAAAUGUCAGAGCACUCAAGAAUUACUGUCUUUUUUUUUCUAUAGCUGAUUAGCUUUAAAAACACAAGACAAAUGGCUUUGUGACAAGUUCUGUUAUAGUUAAAUUGACUAUUGGUUCAUGGGAGUUGAACAGUGCUUUGCUCAGAAAUAUUCCCUCUCAAUAUCUUGCAUAUGUUUGUGAUUAAAGAACUUGUUCUUCUGAGGCUCUCCCAUCACCAAAAUAAUUCAUUCCCACAGCUUUGCAGGCUCCACAAAGAUCCAGCUGACUUUUUGUAGACCAAAAUCAUUGUUUGUUCGGGUAAAAAAUAAAAGGCGUA